rnacentral:rRNA from 1 species
CAGCAGCCACGGGAAUACGAAGGGGGCUAGCGUUGCUCGGAAUGACUGGGCGUAAAGGGCGCGUAGGCGGAUUGUUUAGUUAGGCGUGGAAUUCCUGGGCUUAACCUGGGGACUGCGCUUAAUACAGGCAGUCUAGAGUGUGUCAGAGGAUGGUGGAAUUCCCGGUGUAGCGGUGAAAUGCGUAGAUAUGUGGAGGAACACCAGUGGCGAAGGCGACUCUCUGGUCUGUAACUGACGCUGAGGAGCGAAAGCGUGGGGAGCGAACAGGAUUAGAUACCCCAGUAGUCCCUGUCUCUUAUAC